ensembl:lncRNA
GUUGAGAGUUUACUCCAAUGUGCUGUUAUAUUUGAGGUAGCAAGGAACAGACGGCUGAGUUUAUUAAACUCCACCGAGACAGCUGGUGACGCAAGACCGUCCCAUUUCACAGCCUUGUACCUGCGGCCUUCUCGGUCUUUGAGGGACCCAGCCCAUGAAGACCGUGAAGGCCUGGUCCUUUGAAGGAUGCGGCCUAGGUUUUGGAACACAGCUAAGGACUAUCAAAAUAAGACAGGAAGUAGCACUAACACUGACAAGGACGCAUGAGCUUAACACGAAGACGAGGACAAACAAACGUGGGAACUCACAACAGAUUGGGGAGACAGGGACAAAUUACAAAGAGAGGAACAUGGGAAACAGGUAAGAGAGAAAAAAACCUGAGACACAGGUAGAGCUGGGCGAUAAAACGAUAACGAUAUGUAUUGCGAAAUAACUUCUCUCUUAACUUCUCUCUAUCAUCUCUCUUGUCCUCUUAAAAAAAAGAAAAAAAGAACAGCCAAUCCAAAUUAAGUAGCGCAGAGCCGAACCAAUCACAGCCGCAGCGUCACGUCACGUGACUUGUUACGUGCAGCACAAGUGUCAAGGCGCACAUAUGUAUUUGUUUUUGCAGCCGUGCAGCCCGGGUAAUGGAGGAAAUGAGUGUGCCGACUAGAGAAAAAUCAACCGAGAGCGUGAGCGAAGGUUACCGAAGAAAAAACAGAUGAUGGUUCCAAUGCCGGAGAGCUUGUCGAACAGAAGGGCCACAGAAGUUCCGUAGUGUGAAGCAACAGGGACUGUGGAACAAGAUUUAGACCAUAUGGCCUAGCAGACCAGCAACAUGGAAUGCAAGUCAAGAGCCUGGGGAUAAGGUGAAGUAUAAGGCCAUAUUUUAUACAAGCUCAGUUUUAGCUUAGUCUUUAAGUUCUCUUUUAUACCAAAGCCAAACUAUCUAUCAUACACCUCGGCCUUACUAAGAGUUUCUGUCUGAUUUCUCAGACUUUCUUUCUGAUUUAGUGCUCAGCUCAGAUAAAAUACUUAUUGUGGGUGAUUUUAACAUCCAUGUAGAUCCUAAAAAUGACAGCCUCAACACAGCAUUUAAUCUGUUAUUAGACUAAUUUAAAAGAACCU